GUUUUACUCUUGCUUCUUUAAACGUGCCACAAGGUAACAAACUAACAAUGUUCUCCUUUAAAACUGGCUUUUGACGUCCAUAAGCGGCAACAAUCCUAUUUGACUUGGGCGACAUGCAAGCAAGAAAUCUAUGCUAUUACGGAUCAAGCCAUAAAUACUGAUACUAUCAAGCUUUUUAUCCUAUAAUAGUAUUACUAAUGGGAACUGAUGGAAUUAUUCUCUAACUGCUGAAGUGCAUAAAAUCCUGCAGUGAAAAUAGAGGAUGGGAACCUCAGGUCUACCAAAAAUCUCUGAUUCUUUGGAGAGCCUAAAUUACACAACUAUAAUUGCUUACAGUGACCCUAUAUCUCAAGAUAAACCUGAUCCACCUACAGCGGGAUUCUUAUGCAGCUGUUAUUCACACCGAGUGUCCAUGAGAGUUUGCAAAUAAUUUAUGGCAUAGGCGGGGUGAAUUCAAGUUCAGCAGUCAUCCUUUUCUGGAUCAGCCGAGUGUCCACGAGAGUUUGCAAAUAAUUUAUGGCAUAGGCGGGGUGAAUUCAAGUUCAGCAGUCAUCCUUUUCUGGAUCAAGAACUGGGAGAAUUGCCAAUGCUGACGAAGAAAGAUGCAUACCCCGCACCAAACCUCCAUAACCAAUCUUUAUCUUAUAGCACA
rnacentral:lncRNA from 1 species